UCUGAUCUGGUUUAACAAAAUUGGUUUUAGAGAAUUGAAAUGGGUGUAAAUUCAGCAUGGGCCUAAGGAAGAUUUUCUCCCUUUGCCUGCUAACGACGAGGUAGAGAAGAACUCAGUAAAACAGCAAGCGAGGUGCAAGCAUGGGGCUGGCUGACUGCCCUGCCCAGGCUGCAGCUCCCCCAGCCACAGAGGCAGCAGCAUGGCAUGGUCUUGCUCCAUGUGUUUUUAAUGACCUUGUUUUCCCCUAGGCUGGUGUUUUAAAGAGGUCCCCAAAGAUGGCUGAACUGGCAAGAGGUGGAGAGCAAGAAGGAGCUCUGCUUUUUGGUGAGGUACUAUCUUGUUAAAAUAGGAAUGCCCUAGGAACUGAGCGUUAUCAUUACAGGGGUUUUAGAUGUGGCCCAUCUCUAAUGCUAUCUCACCUUCAGGGCUACUAAAUAUUUGCAAAAUUGUUAUUCUUCCAUGUGUCUUUACUUCCAACUUUUGAUGUUUUUUCUUCUCAAAAGGUUAUUUUUAUAUUUUAGCCAUACUACAAACUUGGUACGAUGUUAAAAACAACAACAACAAACUCCUGUUACCUUCAAUUUGCUGUUGUUGUUUUUACCGUGAUCAUUAUGAGUGAUCAUUAUGUGGGAUCUCUUUAUCACAGAAUGGUGAAAUUUUUCAUUUCUGUUCUUGUAAAUGGAAAGAACAAAGCUGCUGCAAUCAAGGACCUGCUACUUCUGGUACUCUUGGAAGAAAAAAGCAGGAUUUCUACCUAGGACUUGUUUACUUCGUGCCAGAGCUGUUCCCAAGCUUGAUUUCUUCUAGCCUGUUGACUUAACAGAAAUUUCUCCAGGAGCAGAAAGAAACUCUGAAAACAAUGUGAAGUGAAACUCCCACCGACUGCAAUGGGUUGCUGCUGACAAGAGGUGCCAGCCUAUUUAACAGCUGCCUGGAGAUGAGCACUUGGAGGAUACAGACAGCAGGUGCAGCAUGGGUGGCAGUGUCGGAUGCCAGCUGAGACACUGUUGGUGCACGGAGCACCUCCUCUCCUCAGCCUCCGUGUUCAUUUGUCCCCUUGGCUGGGCCGCCAAGAGCAUGUCACGGACGAUGCUUAUUUUUGGAGUGGGGACCAAAUGCUUUGGAGCUGAACGUAUUCCAUAUGUUUUCACACCUGAAAGCUUUUUGAGGAGAGAUCUGAGAUGUUUCCUUUUAUGCGCAUACAUUGAACUUUCUUUGCCUGGCUUUAGAUUUUGUUUUUUUUUUUUAAACACAUAUGCUGAUUGCUUCCAAUGUGUGCUUAUAGAAACUGGAGACAUUUGCAUUCAUAGUAUAGGAGAUGAUGGGGACUUGACAGAUACUUGAUUUGAGUUGGCUUGUUAUUUCUAGAUCUGGCUUAUUGCAGCCACAGUGCCUACUGCUGUAUCUCUAUUGAUUGAAGACAGACAUCCUGAAGGAUAACUUUGUCUUCCCUUUCAUUUAAAAAGGAAAUAAAGGCUUGUCUCCAGCUCUGCUACUUGUGAAGACAGAAACAAAUAUGUAAUGCAGACUGUUUGGUAAGAUUGAAAGAGUUUCACUGAGCUCUAAAAAGUGGUCAUUUGUUCACCCUGUCUUCUCUGUCCUUCUCUGAGGUGCCCUUGCCACCCACGACCCUAGUGUCCAGAGGUGUGCUGGGAAGGCUGUGGAAAAACAAGUGCUUGGCACUGCUUGUGUUAAGCUAGAGAGGAUAUCUGAAGAGAAACUGAAGGAUAACCAAUCCAAAUUCAAAGCUUUGCCAGUUCCAAAGCAAAAAGGCACCCAACCUUCUCCUUAUUUGUGUCCAAUCAGGCAAAGUCUACUUGAGCCCUGGGUUCAAUACCUUUGGGAUAGUUUCCUUGGGCCAUAGCCCAAAUGGUUUAUGUUUGCAUCUCUAGAGCUCCAGCAUCCCUGAAAGUUUCUCUGCCCAAACAUUGUUCCUAGCAGAGAGAGGCCCUGAUUGUGUCUAAUCCUCCAAAUAGAGGAGGGAGAAAGGAUGGACAUGGGUAUCUGUUGGCACCAAAGAGCUUGCCGUGUUCACUACAGGAACUGAAGCAAAGACUCUGUUCCAGUCCUUCAGCAUUGCUUCUCUUGCCUAAAGCACUGGGACUGCUCUGGCUUCCCUUAAGGCACUGCUGGGUUUGACUGCCCUGAAAAUGACCAUGGCUUGUACAGGUAAAAUUGGGCAAAAUUAAAACUCUCUAGAGUGGAUAACAGCAGCAGUGCAAGGCUUGCAGCAGGACACUUGGCACAGGCUAGUAGCCCAGGAAUUUACCUCCAGCCUCUCUGUUUCACCUUGCCUAAGCCUCUGUGGGACCUCUGCUAGCAAUACCCUUGUAUCCUCACUUAAAGAAAGCAUGGCUGAAUUCUCAAAGUCAUAGAGGACUCCUACAAAUGCAGGCCUUUCCUUCCUGGGAUGUGAAGAC